rnacentral:rRNA from 1 species
UACAGAGGUGGCAAGCGUUGUUCGGAAUUACUGGGCGUAAAGGGCGCGUAGGCGGCUUUCCAAGUCAGGGGUGAAAUCCUGGGGCUUAACCCCAGAAUUGCCUUUGAAACUGGAGAGCUAGAGUACUGGAGGGGUUGGCGGAAUUCCUAAUGUAGAGGUGAAAUUCGUAGAUAUUAGGAGGAACACCGGUGGCGAAGGCGGCCAACUGGACAGUAACUGACGCUCUGGCGCGAAAGCGUGGGUAUCAAACAGG